rnacentral:rRNA from 1 species
UACAGGGGGUGCAAACGUUGCUCGGAAUCAUUGGGCGUAAAGGGCUCGUAGGCGGUUUGUCGCGUCGGGAGUGAAAACCCGGGGCUCAACCCCGGGCCUGCAGCCGAUACGAGCAGACUAGAGUUCGGCAGGGGAGACUGGAAUUCCUGGUGUAGCGGUGAAAUGCGCAGAUAUCAGGAGGAACACCGAUGGCGAAGGCAGGUCUCUGGGCAUUAACUGACGCUGAGGAGCGAAAGCAUGGGGAGCGAACAGG